GGAGUUGUGGCUCAGUGGUAAAGCGCUUGCCUAGCAUGUAGGAGGUCCUGAGUUUGAUUCUCAACACCA
rnacentral:tRNA from 1 species